rnacentral:lncRNA from 1 species
GCCAGGAGCGCCGUUAGCUGCGGGCCGCAGCGCCCACCCGCCAUGUUGGGCGCCGAGCGAGGCUUCUCGGCGGGGAGUGUGGGGAAGGGCAGCGGCCGGCCCGCAGCCUCGCUCGCCCGCCCGGGUUUUUCAAGGAAGCGGGAGACGCAAGGGCCACCCCGCCUACGCCUGGCGGCGCAGACAGGCGGUGCUCGCAAUGCCGCGGAGGACGCCACCUCUUAUCGCCGCUUGCCCGUCGAGGCCACGCCCCCUCCCGCCCCCACUUGCCGUUGCCCGGGGUGUCGGUUACCUCAGCAACCACCGCCCUUUCUUCCUGACCGCCAAGCUGACAAUAAACAGAUGACCCAAUGUUGCCCAAGUUAGAGCAUGCACCGCUGCUGCCCAGGCCUCCAAUAAGGGCAGGGUUGGCGCGUGUGGGCUUCUCUAAAGGGAAACAUGGCCAGUAAUUUUAAAAUCCAUCCCCUCUUCAAUGAUAGCAAAUAUAAAAGCAACGGGCUGCAAAGUACACGUAUGUUUAAUGAAAAAUGGAGGGACGUGGUUACAAAAACCUGAGACUUCCAUUUUGCUGGAACCUUCUUUUCCUCUUGCACACUCACUCUGCGACUCUGUGUGGAGAGCUCCAAGUGACAAGGGAGGUCUGCAGCCUAAGCAACUGACACCUCAGCCCAACAGCCCUCAAAGAACUGGAUCUUCAAACAACCACAUGAGUGACCUAGAAGCAAAUCUGUCACCAGUGCUCUUGAGACGGGCUGAAGUAUUUAAUCACCGGCACAAAAUGUCCCAGUGUUCUGUUCUCCUGCCAUGGAAAUUUUAGAGAAAAGAUCAUGAUCUAAGAGUCUACAAGACCAGAGCAGCCUAAAUUGCUGAGCUGCCUGGUGGAGAAUAGCAGCAUUGGGUGGUUCCCAGGAUUCUUAAAAGGACUUUACAAAGGCCUGGCCUAAUCAAUUAAGAGCUCUUAAGGAGUGAAUGGGCUCUUCCUGAAAAAAGAGCUUCUGCUAACCCUGAAAAAGCAAACAACCACCCUGUGAACUGCUAUGGAGAGAGAUGGCCUCUAACAGCUGAGGACCUCAGUCCUACAACCACAAGAAACUGAUUUCUGCCAACAACAUGAAUGAACUUGGAAAAGGCCCCUGAGCUCCAGAUGAGAACACCCAGGUCAACUCAGGUCAUGAGCAGAGAACCCUGUUAUAUUCUCCUUGGCUUGUGAUCCAUAAACAAUGAGAUUAUAAAUGUGUGGUUUUUAAGCCAUUAGGUUUGUGGUAACUUGUUACACAAGCCUCUUUUAGAUUCUUUACAUACACAAAUAUAUUCUAAACGAAUAAUGAGUCUUCCUUUCCCAUCUUUAUACCAUUUACUUCUUAUUCUUCCCUUACCGCUUUAAGACCUCUAGUAUAAAGUUGACUAGAAAAGGUGGUAGUGGCAUUAUUGUGUAGUUCUUUAUAUCAAAGGGAAGAUUUUCAAUGUUUUGAUGUUAAGUAUGACACUUACUAUAGGUUUUUCAUAGAUGCUCUUUAAUCAGUUUAAGCAAUUCUUAUCUAUCCCUAGAAUUAUUGUCAGGAAUAAAUGUUGACUUUUAUCGAAC